rnacentral:rRNA from 1 species
UACGGAGGGUGCGAGCGUUGUCCGGAAUCACUGGGCGUAAAGGGCGCGUAGGCGGCAUGCCAAGCGUGUGGUGAAAGCCCGGGGCUCAACCCCGGGUCGGCCGUGCGGACUGGCGUGCUCGAGCACUGUAGGGGCGGGUGGAAUUCCGGGUGUAGCGGUGGAAUGCGUAGAGAUCCGGAGGAACACCAAUGGCGAAGGCAGUGCCCUGGCCGACGGCUGACGCUCAGGCGCGAAAGCGUGGGGAGCAAACAGG